rnacentral:tRNA from 1 species
GUUCCCGUAGUUAAAUUUUNNUAACGGUGGUUUUUCAGGCCACAGAUCUUGGAGAAAGACCGAGUGGGAAUU